rnacentral:tRNA from 1 species
GGAGAGGUGGCCGAGUGGUUGAAGGCGAUCGCCUGGAAAGCGGUUAUGCGGGUCAAACUGCAUCGUGAGUUCGAAUCUCAUCCUCUCCGCCA